GGUAACAUGGAGAGAGAGAGAGAAGGAGAGGGGGUAACAUGGAGAGAGAGAGAGAAGGAGAGGGGGUAACAUGGAGAGAGAGAGAGAGAAGGAGAGGGGGUAACAUGGAGAGAGAGAGAGAGAAGGAGAGGGGGUAACAUGGAGAGAGAGAGAGAAGGAGAGGGGGUUAUUAUUGUCCUCAGUGACCGCUAAUGCAGCAAUUCAUUACUUAGUGAGCAGCAGGGAGGAUACUGGAUCUUUAAUACAAUGCUGUCACAAUUACAGACAAUUACACUAACAUGGAGAGAGAAGGGACAACAUGGAGAGAGAGAGAAGGAGAGGGGGUAACAUGGAGAGAGAGAGAAGGAGAGGGGUUAACAUGGAGAGAGAGAGAAGGAGAGGGGGUAACAUGGAGAGAGAGAGAAGGAGAGGGGGUAACAUGGAGAGAGAGAGGAGGAGAGGUGGUAACAUGGAGAGAGAGAGGAGGAGAGGGGGUAACAUGGAGAGAGAGAGAGGGUUAUUAUUGUCCUCAGUGACCGCUAAUGCAGCCAUUCAUUACUUAGUGAGCAGCAGAAAGGAUACUGGAUCUUUAAUACAAUGCUGUCACAAUUACAGACAAUUACACUAACAUGGAGAGAGAAGGGACAACAUGGAGGGAGAGAGAAGGAGAGGGAGUAACAUGGAGAGAGAGAGAGAAGGAGAGGGGGUAACAUGGAGAGAGAGAGAGAGGGAGAGGGGGUAACAUGGAG